ACAUGCAAGUCGAACGGAGAGGCCCCUUCGGGGGUGCUCGAGUGGCGAACGGGUGAGUAACACGUGGGUGAUCUGCCUCGUACUCUGGGAUAAGCCUGGGAAACUGGGUCUAAUACUGGAUAGGACCGCACUUUAGUGUGUGUGGUGGAAAGUUUUUUCGGUACGAGAUGAGCCCGCGGCCUAUCAGCUUGUUGGUGGGGUAAUGGCCUACCAAGGCGUCGACGGGUAGCCGGCCUGAGAGGGUGGACGGCCACAUUGGGACUGAGAUACGGCCCAGACUCCUACGGGAGGCAGCAGUGGGGAAUAUUGCACAAUGGGCGCAAGCCUGAUGCAGCGACGCCGCGUGAGGGAUGACGGCCUUCGGGUUGUAAACCUCUUUCGACAGGGACGAAGCUUUUUGUGACGGUACCUGUAUAAGAAGCACCGGCUAACUACGUGCCAGCAGCCGCGGUAAUACGUAGGGUGCGAGCGUUGUCCGGAAUUACUGGGCGUAAAGAGCUCGUAGGUGGUUUGUCGCGUCGUCUGUGAAAUUCCGGGGCUUAACUCCGGGCGUGCAGGCGAUACGGGCAUAACUUGAGUGCUGUAGGGGAGACUGGAAUUCCUGGUGUAGCGGUGGAAUGCGCAGAUAUCAGGAGGAACACCGAUGGCGAAGGCAGGUCUCUGGGCAGUAACUGACGCUGAGGAGCGAAAGCAUGGGGAGCGAACAGGAUUAGAUACCCUGGUAGUCCAUGCCGUAAACGGUGGGCGCUAGGUGUGAGGGUCUUCCACGACUUUCGUGCCGUAGCUAACGCAUUAAGCGCCCCGCCUGGGGAGUACGGCCGCAAAGGCUA
rnacentral:rRNA from 1 species